GGUACUUGGGACCAGAUAACGGACGUGAUGUCAAACAAGUGAAUGACUUCUUUCGGAGAGUGAUUGUAUCUCAUGCUCUUGAUGAGGCCGUUUGCAUGUUUGAUGUACCACUGGGUAAGCAGGAAAACUGAUAUCUUCAUCUAAAUUUUCUUCAACAUUUACUAAAUUAACUGGAAUCUCACAUAAAUGACUUUUACGUCAGGGAUCUGUUCCAUAUUUUUGCAUGAGUGUCCCUGCUCUCCAGCAAGAAUAUCACAAGCGUGAUUUGAUCCGAUGCGAGGAAGAAAAUGCCUUUCGCAAGCAUUUUUGAUGUUAGUGAUAGUCAGUUCGUUGACUUCAUUAUCAAACGCCACGAAUUCACGAGACCCUAUUAAAAUAGAAUAGAACUUUAUUUUAACAUGCUUACAACGUCAGCCGCAGCUGUUUUCCAAGAAGAGCGUGAAUAUAAGAAAUAUAAAAGAUAUCACCAGAAAAAAAUUACAAAAAAUAACUAUGUAUAAACUAACUACGUACAUGUUGUAUUAAUCCUAUUGUUAUUGCUACUAUAGCUACUGCAAAGUUUUAUUUAAAAUAUUAUUAUAAAGUUUUUUAUAAAAAGGUAUGUCAAUUGUAGUAACUGAGAUUGUGGGAAGCGAUUUGGUUUUGGAAAACCUUAAAUGAAUAACUUUAUUUAAUUUCAUUUGGCAAUUCCAAACCUUUGCUCCGUUAUAUGUGAAACUUUUUUUCAUACUGUUUGUUCGUGGUUGAGGCAGGCAAAGUGUAUUUUUAAUACCACGAAGUUCAUAAUCUGUUGAAUAAUUUAUAAAAUCGAAUAAAGACGCAAGCGAUGUCGGA